rnacentral:rRNA from 1 species
GUGACUGCGUACCUUUUGUAUAAUGGGUCAGCGACUUAUAUUCUGUAGCAAGGUUAACCGAAUAGGGGAGCCGAAGGGAAACCGAGUCUUAACUGGGCGUUAAGUUGCAGGGUAUAGACCCGAAACCCGGUGAUCUAGCCAUGGGCAGGUUGAAGGUUGGGUAACACUAACUGGAGGACCGAACCGACUAAUGUUGAAAAAUUAGCGGAUGACUUGUGGCUGGGGGUGAAAGGCCAAUCAAACCGGGAGAUAGCUGGUUCUCCCCGAAAGCUAUUUAGGUAGCGCCUCGUGAAUUCAUCUCCGGGGGUAGAGCACUGUUUCGGCAAGGGGGUCAUCCCGACUUACCAACCCGAUGCAAACUGCGAAUACCGGAGAAUGUUAUCACGGGAGACACACGGCGGGUGCUAACGUCCGUCGUGAAGAGGGAAACAACCCAGACCGCCAGCUAAGGUCCCAAAGUCAUGGUUAAGUGGGAAACGAUGUGGGAAGGCCCAGACAGCCAGGAUGUUGGCUUAGAAGCAGCCAUCAUUUAAAGAAAGCGUAAUAGCUCACUGGUCGAGUCGGCCUGCGCGGAAGAUGUAACGGGGCUAAACCAUGCACCGAAGCUGCGGCAGCGACGCUGAUGCGUUGUUGGGUAGGGGAGCGUUCUGUAAGCCUGUGAAGGUGUGCUGUGAGGCAUGCUGGAGGUAUCAGAAGUGCGAAUGCUGACAUAAGUAACGAUAAAGCGGGUGAAAAGCCCGCUCGCCGGAAGACCAAGGGUUCCUGUCCAACGUUAAUCGGGGCAGGGUGAGUCGACCCCUAAGGCGAGGCCGAAAGGCGUAGUCGAUGGGAAACAGGUUAAUAUUCCUGUACUUGGUGUUACUGCGAAGGGGGGACGGAGAAGGCUAUGUUGGCCGGGCGACGGUUGUCCCGGUUUAAGCGUGUAGGCUGGUUUUCCAGGCAAAUCCGGAAAAUCAAGGCUGAGGCGUGAUGACGAGGCACUACGGUGCUGAAGCAACAAAUGCCCUGCUUCCAGGAAAAGCCUCUAAGCAUCAGGUAACAUCAAAUCGUACCCCAAACCGACACAGGUGGUCAGGUAGAGAAUACCAAGGCGCUUGAGAGAACUCGGGUGAAGGAACUAGGCAAAAUGGUGCCGUAACUUCGGGAGAAGGCACGCUGAUAUGUAGGUGAAGUCCCUCGCGGAUGGAGCUGAAAUCAGUCGAAGAUACCAGCUGGCUGCAACUGUUUAUUAAAAACACAGCACUGUGCAAACACGAAAGUGGACGUAUACGGUGUGACGCCUGCCCGGUGCCGGAAGGUUAAUUGAUGGGGUUAGCGCAAGCGAAGCUCUUGAUCGAAGCCCCGGUAAACGGCGGCCGUAACUAUAACGGUCCUAAGGUAGCGAAAUUCCUUGUCGGGUAAGUUCCGACCUGCACGAAUGGCGUAAUGAUGGCCAGGCUGUCUCCACCCGAGACUCAGUGAAAUUGAACUCGCUGUGAAGAUGCAGUGUACCCGCGGCAAGACGGAAAGACCCCGUGAACCUUUACUAUAGCUUGACACUGAACAUUGAGCCUUGAUGUGUAGGAUAGGUGGGAGGCUUUGAAGUGUGGACGCCAGUCUGCAUGGAGCCGACCUUGAAAUACCACCCUUUAAUGUUUGAUGUUCUAACGUUGACCCGUGAUCCGGGUUGCGGACAGUGUCUGGUGGGUAGUUUGACUGGGGCGGUCUCCUCCUAAAGAGUAACGGAGGAGCACGAAGGUUGGCUAAUCCUGGUCGGACAUCAGGAGGUUAGUGCAAUGGCAUAAGCCAGCUUGACUGCGAGCGUGACGGCGCGAGCAGGUGCGAAAGCAGGUCAUAGUGAUCCGGUGGUUCUGAAUGGAAGGGCCAUCGCUCAACGGAUAAAAGGUACUCCGGGGAUAACAGGCUGAUACCGCCCAAGAGUUCAUAUCGACGGCGGUGUUUGGCACCUCGAUGUCGGCUCAUCACAUCCUGGGGCUGAAGUAGGUCCCAAGGGUAUGGCUGUUCGCCAUUUAAAGUGGUACGCGAGCUGGGUUUAGAACGUCGUGAGACAGUUCGGUCCCUAUCUGCCGUGGGCGCUGGAGAACUGAGGGGGGCUGCUCCUAGUACGAGAGGACCGGAGUGGACGCAUCACUGGUGUUCGGGUUGUCAUGCCAAUGGCACUGCCCGGUAGCUAAAUGCGGAAGAGAUAAGUGCUGAAAGCAUCUAAGCACGAAACUUGCCCCGAGAUGAGUUCUCCCUGACUCCUUGAGAGUCCUGAAGGAACGUUGAAGACGACGACG